AUCAACUGGUUUAGAGCAAAUAAACUAGACUAAGCAAAGUGUAAUUUCGUCACAAGUUGACGCUACGCAUGGUUGUAGAUUGCAAACCGACUUGCUAAAUCAAAGAGUUUAGAAGCUAAGUUC